ACUCCUACGGGAGGCAGCAGUGGGGAAUAUUGCACAAUGGGGAAACCCUGAUGCAGCCAUGCCGCGUGUGUGAAGAAGGCCUCGGUUGUAAAGCACUUCAGUAGGGAGGAAGGUAGUGUAGUUAACACCUGCAUUAUUUGACGUUACCUACAGAAGAAGCACCGGCUAACUCCGUGCCAGCAGCCGCGGUAAUACGGAGGGUGCGAGCGUUAAUCGGAAUUACUGGCGUAAAGCGCAUGCAGGCGGCCUGUUAAGUCAGAUGUGAAAGCCCGGGGGCUUAACCUCGGAAUUGCAUUUGAAACUGGCAGGCUAGAGUCUUGUAGAGGGGGUAGAAUUUCAGGUGUAGCGGUGAAAUGCGUAGAGAUCUGAAGGAAUACCAGUGGCGAAGGCGGCCCCCUGGACAAAGACUGACGCUCAGAUGCGAAAGCGUGGGGAGCAAACAGGAUUAGAUACCCUGGUAGACUGUCA
rnacentral:rRNA from 1 species